UCAACUGAAGUUUAUAGAACUGCUAAUGUCCAAAAUACACUGGAAUUCAGAAAGCUGCAGGUUUAGAUGAAAGUGAGCAACAGAGGCACGUGUUUCCUGAGUCAAACACAUAUGCGCAACUGCCCACUGGACAACUACACGCGGAAGGUGCACAGGCGCUCCAAGGCCUGCACGUCCAAAACAGUGCUCUUUAGCUCCCCACCAAUCUGUUCCUCAUCCUGCCUUCCCGAGGGAGGGCUCAGCAAUGAGCAGGGAAUCUGGGAACUGCCCAUGACACCUUUCUGCAAUUUUUUACUGCACAGCUCCCUUGCGUAAAAUUUUAAGCUGUGUAACUAAAUGUAAGAAAAGUGCUCCCUUGAGGGGCUGAUGCUCAAGUAAGGGACCAUGCCUAGCACGUCUAAGACAAAGGAAGCAUCUGUGUCAAAAUAGACUGUCAACAAUCUGAGGGCUCAGAGAAGACCCUGGGGGAAGUCUCCUGGAAUUGGGGGUCUUGUUAGAUUUCAAAAUGUUAACAGCCCUAAGGUUGACCUUGACCAAGAAUUAGAAGUUUGUACAGACAGAAGGGAAGCUGAAAGAUAGGAAUUCCCUCUGCAGUGGGUUCAUGGGACAGGGAUCAGGGGGCUGAACCAAAGACAGAAAUGUGUGGGCUUUUUCUCUGGGAGGACAAUUUUGGGUACAAACAAGUUCUUAACUAUCUUGUGCAUUGGAGGGAAAUGAACCCCUCUGACCUAGUGAACUUCAUUUUUGAUCAAAAAUUAAACUACGGCUUUCCCCAUGAGUAGGGGAACUGUUUUAUUUGACCACUCCUUUGGCUGGGUAACGUAAUUAGAGCAAUCUUCAAAUAUUUCCAGGAUCAGAAUUUGCUUGUUUUGCUUAAAUUUUUUCUUAAACUAUUCUGGGU
rnacentral:lncRNA from 1 species